UAAUACGUAGGGGGCAAGCGUUGUCCGGAUUUACUGGGUGUAAAGGGUGCUCAGGUGGACUUUUAAGUCAGAGGUGAAAUCCCAAAGCUUAACUUUGGAGCUGCCUUUGAUACUGAAAGUCUAGAGUUUGAGAGAGGGCAAUGGAAUAUCUGGUGUAGCAGUGAAAUGCGUAGAUAUCAGAUAGAACACCAAUGGCGAAGGCAGUUGCCUGGCUCAAAACUGACGCUAAAGCACGAAAGUGUGGGGAGCAAACAGG
rnacentral:rRNA from 1 species